rnacentral:tRNA from 1 species
GCCGACUUAGCUCAGCGGUAGAGUGCUUCCUUGGUAAGGAAGAGGUCACGGGUUCAAGUCCCGUAGCCGGCU